UCUUCCGUAGUAUAGUGGUCAGUAUGCGAGCUUGUCACGCUUGAGACAGACCCGGGUUCAAUUCCCGGCGGGAGAG
rnacentral:tRNA from 1 species